rnacentral:rRNA from 1 species
GACGAACGCUGGCGGCGUGCCUAAUACAUGCAAGUAGAACGCACAGUUUAUACCGUAGCUUGCUCCACCAUAAACUGUGAGUUGCGAACGGGUGAGUAACGCGUAGGUAACCUGCCUGGUAGCGGGGGAUAACUAUUGGAAACGAUAGCUAAUACCGCAUAAUAUUGAUUAUUGCAUGAUAAUUGAUUGAAAGAUGCUAUUGCAUCACUACCAGAUGGACCUGCGUUGUAUUAGCUAGUAGGUGAGGUAACGGCUCACCUAGGCGACGAUACAUAGCCGACCUGAGAGGGUGAUCGGCCACACUGGGACUGAGACACGGCCCAGACUCCUACGGGAGGCAGCAGUAGGGAAUCUUCGGCAAUGGACGAAAGGCUGACCGAGCAACGCCGCGUGAGUGAAGAAGGUUUUCGGAUCGUAAAGCUCUGUUGUAAGAGAAGAACGGGUGUGAGAGUGGAAAGUUCACACUGUGACGGUAUCUGAACAGAAAGGGACGGCUAACUACGUG